rnacentral:lncRNA from 1 species
GCUCGACUCGUUUUUAUCAGGCGUGCCUAAAUAAGCUUAAGUUCGGCUCGAGCUCGUUAAAAAGCUCGUUAACUAAUACCCGAAAUUCAUAAUUCCCCUAAUAUGUUUUUAUUUUAAUAUAUAUAUAUAUAAAUAGUAAUAAAUAAUAUUAUAUAAAGGCUCGUUUAGGCUCGCGAGCCUAAUCNGUAAAGAGUUAUACAAGCUCGGCUUGGGCUCGAGCUCGACUCGUUUUUAUCGGGCGUGCCUAAAUAAGCUUAAGCUCAGCUCGAGCUCGUUAACUAACACCCGAAAUUCAUAAUUCCCCUAAUAUGUUUUUAUUUUAAUAUAUAUAAAUAAUAAUAAAUAAUAUUAUAUAAGGCCUCAUUUAGGCUCGCGAGCCUAAUCGAGCUUUGUAACAUAGGCUUGAGCUCGAGCUCGUUUAAUAAACAAGCUUAAUAUUAAGCUCGAGCUCGGCUCGGGCUCGUUUAAAAUCGGUUUCGAGUCGAGCUUUUAACGAUCCGAUCUCGAGUAGCU